rnacentral:rRNA from 1 species
AUGCGCGAUGACGAAUGUGUUGCCAAUCCUUGUAUAUACAACUCGGGCCUUGUAUAUACAAGGAUUGGCAACACAUUCGUCACAUUUUUAGGUGAUGAUGAAUCCGAUCAUCUGACUGACUCGCACCGCCGCCUUGGUGGAAAAAAUGUCUGCUUGAGUUGUCAAACAAUUAUGGCGGUACGUACGUCCAUUACGUGUUUGAUCACUACGACGAUGACCAGGACGUCCGGGGGGAUCGCAGACAGAUCGUGCGAGAUCCGGCCGGACGGCGAGGUUCGGUGCCCGUGCAAUGCAUGUGGAACACGAAACGGUCCCUCCCUCGCCCGCGUACGUUUUCCACGGCGUAGCCAAUGGGAAGCCAUGCGCAUUGGAUUCGAUCUCGAUCGGUUAAAUGGUGAUCUUCACUCAUAA